rnacentral:rRNA from 1 species
AUUGAACGCUAGCGGCAUGCCUAACACAUGCAAGUCGAGCGGAGCGGCGGACGGGUGAGUAAUGCAUAGGAAUCUGCCUGGUAGUGGGGGAUAACGACCUGAAACGGGAGCUAAUACCGCAUACUAUCAGAUCAGCCUAGGUCGGAUUAGCUAGUUGGUGGGGUAAAGGCCUACCAAGGCGACGAUCCGUAGCUGGUCUGAGAGGAUGACCAGCCACACUGGAACUGAGACACGGUCCAGACUCCGACGGGAGGCAGCAGUGGGGAAUAUUGGACAAUGGGCGAAAGCCUGAUCCAGCCAUGCCGCGUGUGUGAAGAAGGUCUUCGGAUUGUAAAGCACUUUUAGUUGGGAGGCGGUACCAGCAGAAUAAGCACCGGCUAACUUCGUGCCAGCAGCCGCGGUAAUAC